CCAUGAAAAUCUGCAUGCAAAUGCAUAAUAAUCACAAAUCUACAUUAUUACAAUAUUAAAAAAUACCUACAAUUAAAUUAUCAUGUGGAAAUAAUCAUAAUGUUAUUGGAAACUCAAUUAUUGUGGCAACCCUUGUCAAGGAAUUAGCAGGCUAUGGCAAAGGCAAGUCAGACCUGAAUUCAUCAAAUAUAUAUUAUCACAAUAUUACAUGUUCACUUCGAUUCCAUGCAAAGACAAACAUCCUCACUCACUAGUAUCUGCUCAAUGCAUUUGUAUUAUUCAUGAACAACUCUGUGAUCUAUUAUACAUACAAAACUGAUUGUACGCUGCUUGCCGGAGGCUACAAUGCAGAGACACAGAAUUAAUUUUAUUAUAUACACAUGCAUGAUAAUUGUGUAGAAUUCAGUCAAAUAUCAAACUCUGCUCCUGUGCUCCAUUAUUUUACUUUCCAAAAAGAGGUCUAAGGUCAGCAGCAAUUUCUCUUUGGCGACAGUGAAACUCUUUGUCAUUUAGAGUAGAAAGUUCCUGGGUACUAAUGAGCCUGGAGCUGUGAUGAAUGGUCACACAUUCCCUUUCCUCUCCAACCUCCACUAAUCAAAGGGAGACUGUAACUUUUAUUGAGAUUCUCAAGAAUUCCUUGCCUCUUUGCACACAGAAUUCACUUUGGGCUGCUGACUUAGAUACUUCAUUUGUCAGAGAUGAAGGCAACACUUAUGGCUUCAGAAACUUGACUACAAUUUUCUGAGAAGAUGAUCAGUACAACUUGAAAAACUUGUUUUCAGAUAGAUUUUUAUUUCUGUAAGAGCUACUGUUAUUUCAGUAAACUCUUAGAAAUGCUUUCAUAGGGCCAUUUUUCCUGUGAUAUGUUUUCACUAAGAACAAGCAACAACUACCUGUCCCUUUCUUCAACAGGGCAAGGAACAUACGGUAUGAUCCUUACCUGCUUCCAGAUCUUUUGCCAGAAAAAUAAAGAUGAGUACCAUCCAAAAAAAUUAUGGUUGUUUUGAGAUAUUGGGAGUGAGACAUAUCAAUCUCCAAAGGAGCAUUCAACAAGCUGCACUACAUCAAAGUACUGGGCUGCAUUCUAACAUGACUGAAAGGUUGACUUCAACAUGUUUCUGAUUAGGUAAAUGCCAGACCAACUGGGACAAAUGGCAUACGUGUGAAUCUCAGCAACACUAAGUAUCAAACCCUGAAUUUUAUUUAUUUAUUUUUAAUUUCCAUUCACUCUCAUUAUCCAUCCAAUAUCUGAACUUUUGGCUAUCAUACUCAUCUGAGUUUUAGGGUUGAAAAAAAUUUACUCCUUGCCCAGCACAUUCAGAGUAGAGUUCCAUUCAAGCAUAUUUGACAUUCACUCUUGCAUUACUGCAUUGCUUUCAAGAGUCAUGAGCAGAAUGUGUGCUUCACAGCAUUUAUAUUCUAGUUUCACAGAAUUCAGAGAUAAACUGUAGCAAGUACUCUCUAGAAUUUCUCUAAGUCUACUCAUCUGUCAGGAGUAAACAUCCUCAUCUUUAAAUCUUUCAUAUAUUUAUGUCAUGACCAGAAUCCAUCAUUUCAUAUAGCUAAGAACAACAUAGGAUGAUCUGGAUUUAGUAUUGCAUAGCUCACAAGCCUGCCCUCAAAAUUUACUAUAAGUGGGUAAAGCCAGCAUUGUUCUAAUUAAGCAAUGUGAAAGACAUAAAAUCUCAGAAAAGAAAUGAGCUAACCCCUCACAUAGUAUGAUGUUCCAUCACAACAAAUAAUGAAUAAACAAAAUUGGUCUUCUUAUCUUGGCUGGCUCAUGGUAAUCAACAACAGAAGUAGCAAAAAGCACAGCUCUGACAAGUCUCCAGGGCAGCACCUAAAAUGCCAGAGGCAUGGAAGAAAAGACCUUGCAUUGAAAACCAACUCAGUAACGCAUUUUGUCAUUAAUUGCUUAUAAAAGAUAAAGUUCUUAAAAAUAUCUGUUUUUCGGUAGGCAUAUGCUACAACUUCCUCAGUAAUAGUAGUGACUCUGAGGUGCCAGUAUCUUUUGAACAUCUUUUUCUUCCAUGGUAAAUCCACUUAUUUCCUGCCAUAUCAGGCUAGCUAGGCAAUUAGGUGAGCAGUGGGACCUCAAGGCUCGGACAGUGCAAUUUCACUUCAGCCUUCGCUGUGGAAGUAGUUAACAAGAUAUUGGCUCAAAGAGAUUUUCCUAGAUUGUUAGCUUGACAUGAUCAGGCAGGCAGUAAUAUAAUGGGGAGAAAGACCCUACUGGAAUUGAUUAAUUUGUCACCAUUACCCAAGACCUGACAGUUUUUUCAUACAUAUAUGAAGUGUCAGUGGUUCCAGCUUAUUUCUCUGAUUAGAACUAAACUCAUGUAGUUUGGGUUCAGAAAGAAAUACAAAGUUUAAGAAAUUUAGUUUAACCUCAUCCAAACCACCAAGCCUCUUAACCAUACAAAGAGAUGAAAAUAGUUGAGAAGAUGCAUUUUUAUUAAAACUGAGAUUGUUGCUUUGUCUGGUGCACAACAAAAUACCUCCAUGGGUUACUCAGCAUUUUCCUGCUUGUCCUCAGCUGCUGACAUACACAGGAGAAAAGCAUUGCUGUUAAACCACAUUUUCCAAGCUUGUAAAAUAUCCUUAUUUUAAAAAUCUUGUAGCUUUUAAUUGGUUCGGCCAACCACAAUUAUUAGAAGCCACACUAGAACAACCAGGUAACCAGCAAACUCUUCUAAAGACAAGUGUUCUUGUUAUUUCUUCAGUUAACAUUUAUUUUGCAUGUAUCCAUAAAAUCACUACAUGGAAAGACUGUGCAUACACAGAACAAGUAUUGGCUUUAUUUUCUUGCCAGGCAGCAUUGCUCAAGCACAGACCUCUUGACAUUUAAUAUUCAUAGUGCAGAAGCAUCUACUGAUUCCAAUAAGAAACAAGAAACAUUGCGAGAGAUGUCAUACAAAAAAAAAGUCACAGUUCUGCCACAAAGUACUUUCAGUUAUACAGGUUGACAAAUCAACUAUUGCCACACUGUGUACAGUGUAAGAAAUAUUUUUCAGUGAUUUUCUAGUCACCUUUAAAAAGAAUUGACACUAUAGGUAGCUCUAUAUAGUAAUGCAUAGGACAUUACUUCAGCAGUUACUGAGGAAAAAUAGCUACAUCACCUUACCUUUGUGCACAUGUAUUUUAUGUCAGCAGAAAAUUCAACAUGACAGUAUUCGCAAAGCUGAAUCUUAUUCAGAAGACAAAAAAUAAAAUUAGGCUAAAAUGAUGUACAAAGAAGAAUUAACAAUUUUUUUUUUUAAUUUUCAUCUUAAUGGAAACAGUUUGACAUUUAAUUUCAGAAUUGAGUAAUUUUGCAUUUAUUUAUUUUUGAGAGAUGCACCCCUUUUCCAAUAUUUCCUUCCCAAAGAGACAAUCUAAUAAUGGUCUGCUUGUGUCUGUGUUAACAGAACUUUAACUCUUAAUGAAUAGGAGAAAAAAAAAAAAAGUGGUUUUUUUUUUAGGUUUUGUUAAUAACAAUAUAAUUAUAUAUAAUAUAUAUUAUAUAUAGAGAGAGUAAUUAAAAAAAAUCAAAUCUUUGCAUAGUCCUCUUAGCCAUGAUUGUUCUUCCUUUCUAGGAGGCAUAUUAAGAUAGAACAGAUUACUUUUGAGGUGAGUUUAGUGUUCUUUGGUAAACGCGCAUUACUGGCUAUGAACAGCUUUCCCAAGGCUGAACAAAGCUGGGUGAGAUCCGGGCAUAGGAGUAGUGUCCUCCAGUCACAUAGAUCCCCAGCUCUAUCUUCGGCAGCCCACUGACAGCUGCCGGCAACCCAAAUCCCCCAUAUGAGACAGUACAGGAUGCUCCUUCAAAUAUCUCCUUGAUGCCAAGAAUGUUUCUAUGGUAAUUCUGCAUACAAAAUUACAGGCUCGUGCUGUGUAAGAGGCUGUGCAAGGGCCCAAGGAGAUGAAUAAGCCUAUCUAAGGUUGUGCAUACCCAGGGGGCUUCCAUUAUUUUGGGUGCAAGGAAAUACAAAGAUGGAAUAAUAACAAUGUUGUGCUGCACUUCAAUUGUUAAAUUACUUCAAUACCUUGCUCACAGAUGUGCUCAUGUGAAUCUAAUCAAGCAACUCCUCUAAGACAGCAAAGAUUAUUUUGAGAGAUUAUUCCUGUUUUUACUACAGAAAAAGAAGUGCCAGCCUUUUAGGAUCAUUUGUACAUAAGUGCAUGUGUGUGCACACAAACACAGACAUCUUCCCUCUAUGAGCACACGAAAAAGCCAAGGCAAAAAAAUUCCCACAUACAGAACACUACUCUGAGAAAGAUAGGACUUCUAGUAACAGAUUUGCAUUUUCAUGCAAAAAAAAGAAAAAAAAAAAAACCAAAACCAAAUAAAUCCAUGCCAAAAACUUGUCUGAUUGCUUAUCUACUUACACAUUUGUAACAAAGAACAACAGGGCAAAAGAAAAGGUGGCAUCAUCAGAAAUGGGUACCUGAAGAAAAAAGAAAAGAAAAAAAGAUUUUUCUAUGCCACUCUAAGUCCCAGAAAGGGGAGCCUUUCAAUAUCUUCUCAAAUAAUUUUUGCUUCAGACUCUAAGACAGCACAUUCAACAAUUCAAUUUGCUGUUCGAUAAUAGGGACCCAGACUGGCUUUUUAAUGCAUAAAAAGAAGUUGCAUCUUUUUUCUUUAUUUUUCUGUAUGUUUGUUUGUUGCUUACUGACAUCAGAUUUCCUGCAGGCAUCCUAACCUAGCAAUUGAAGAAAUUGCUCUAGGGUUUUCCAGGCAUAUAAUACACCUGGAUAAAAAGUGCUAAUUGUCACCAACUUCCAUUAAAUGACAGCAGUAAGGCACAAAAUGUGCUUGAUUUGCAGACGCUAGUGCCACUGGGAGUUAGCAGCAGAUUAAUAAUUGUGCAGACCUCAAACAUUCCCCUGGCACUGACAGUCUGGGCUUCCAACACAAUGCCAGAUUAUGAGGCCUUUGCUUUUAGCUUGCCUUCCUAAUAGGGCUCAGGCAAUUGCAAGGUUCCUCUGUACGUGUGUUUGACUGUUUGACCUUCCAGAAAGACUUCUGGUCAAUAUGAAUACAAUUUUUUGUGGGAGGGUAGAGGUCACAAACAGGCAAUAGCCUAAGCGGUUUUCUGAAAAGCAGGCAGCUGGGUGGACAUCAUCAAGCCUGAGUUUAAGUGCUCCUAAUAUCCUGACUUGCUAGGUUCUUGAAGAGAACUGAACCCUAAUUCUGUUCAUUCUAUUAGCACUAAGUCACAUGAUGAUCACAUCAGACUAUGUUCUCAGGUUUUUUCCAUCUUUUUUUUUUUUUUUUUUUCAAUUUCAUGUCAUACACAAGCUUGAAGCCUUGAGUGCACAUCAAGCAUUACGGUAUUGCACAGAUAUAAUCUUAUUCCAGCUCCCUGCAGACAAAUUCAGGGGCCAACGCUUUGCCUUCCUCUUUCUUCUCGCUCUGCUGUUUCCAUUUCCUCUUUGCUCUCGGCACACGUGGGCACAUUCUCUUGGCUUGGAAGAAACCAUCUCAUGGCAUGCAAGCUUGCUGACGGCUCCAGUGGCAUUACAAAGCUCAUUUCUGCAUGCAGCAACAUGAUUAUGGAGAAGGAGAGGGCAAGGUUGAACGAAUGUGCUUUAACACUUCUUUCUUGGUAUUUAUGACUAUGCCAUAGCAUUCCUGUAACCUGGCCUGCUGCUGCUCCAGCUGCUUGUGCAAGCUCCUGAUCGAACGCAACAGCAGGAGUCUUCGGUACAUUGCUAGCUGGAGCCGAUACUUCUCCUUUUCCUCCUUUUUCUUAUUUUCUAGGGUCUCCAUUACUGUUGUGGUCUUCAUCCAGAUGGCUGAGCCCAGACUGCAAGGGUUGCCCUCAGUGCAGCUCUCCACAGGCCGUGCGCUAUCAGCUGGCACAUGGCAGCACCUGAGGUUGUUCACCAACAGGGCCACGACUGCCCUGGGGGGCUUACCAGCCCCGUCAGGCAUCCCAGGGACACAUGAUGCUUCUGAAUCCUGGUCACAGCUACAGUAGACACUUUCAGAGCACGCCAUUUAUUGCACGAAAUACAGAAACUUUCUGUGGACAAAGUGGAAGCAAGAGGAUUUCAUUUCCACAUACACACAGGCACACAUACAGCAGACCUACGCAGAGUGACAUUUGAAGUAAGAACCUCUCCUUGUAUUUAACCAAUGGACCUAUUAAUUUUCUAAUAAAGCACAACCCUUGGGUCACUUCAGGCCAUUUUUUGUGAUUUGCAUUGGAUGUUCUUCGAGACACAACAUUCAUCCAAUAAUAAUUAAAAUGAUAUACUGUACUAUUAACAUUCUCAAAUCUUUAAAGCAAAGUGAUCUAUCCCUGCAGCACUGGCUUUGCUGACUAAUUAAACAGAAUACAGUUGUAAAUGGCUAUUGUAAGCACUUCUCCCAUUUAAGAACACAGCUCUAGCAAGUGUAGUUCAUAGAGAUGGGUGAGUUAUCAGGAUUGAUCUGCCCUAAAGAGGUGGAUGUACCACAAACAGCAGGUUUCAUUUAAAUGCCCUCUCUGAGAUUAAUCUGUCUGCUAGCAGUUUGUUUACAAGGUUGCCUUUUCCCCUCCUACCAACUCUAUCAGCAGAGCAAUAAUAGUACUAUGCUAGUCAUAGACAGGAAAAAAAGAAUACUUACCGAGGUUAGUGGGGGAAAGAAAAAGAGUUACAGUGCAUUGUGUCUGCGCAUCAUGUUUUCCUGAAUAUGAGUCAGCAAAAACUGGAACAGAAACAUCACUGUGAAGAAGCAGGAGCAGCAACAGCAUUACUCUAUUCCACCCAGCAACAACACAGUGAAUCCCAAUCACUGAGAAGUGAAGGGCUGACUUCACCCCCUCCUCCCCCCCCAUCCCUUCCUUAUUAAGAGGAUAUUCCUCCCUAGUAUUGAGCUUUGAUGUCAUCUUUGAGCAUCAAAAUGAAAACCGGGAUUGGAUGACAUUAUUUUUUACCACAGAUCCAAACAUCCCUGAUUCACUCAAUAUAUGGGGAUGAUACAAAUGGCUCAUCCUACCUCUGUCAAACAGCAAGGAGCAAAUACAGCUCCCAGAAGAGUGGAGGGCAUUCUGGACUCCAAUGCAUACGUGCUCUUCUUCAGAGAAAACAAACUUAGAUAAACUUUAGAUGCAUAAACCCAAGAUGAAACAAGCUUUUGGCACCAACUGAAUGCUGAGCAUAAAGGCAGCCAGAAGGUGUAGAUUUAAAUGUCUAAUAUACACUUAUAUUUAAUUAUGCUGACCUAAUCUUUCAGGGAAAAAAGAAAAAAAAAACAACAACUCUGCAACCAACUUAAAUAUCCAAUAAAAUAGUAAACUUCAUCUGCACCUUUGAUGUUUAGAAAAGCUACCUUCAGCAUCUUCUCCCACUUGUAAUGCCAGGAACAAAAUUCAAAAAAUAUCUAUCUGCAACUACUUUUGAGAAUCUGCCACAGGGCUUACACUGCCCUGAGGCUUUCUCUACUUUAUUCUCUUAAUAUGAAUAAAAGAAAGAACCAACCCAAAAUACUACCUAGAAUCUUCCUGGAGAUGGGAAAGAAUAAGGGUAGAUUCUAUCUCCACUUCUAUAUACAAUAGAACACAGAUAAUUAUUAUUUUUUUUUAAAUGUUUCAUCUGACUAUCUCUCUCUCUAAUUAAUCUGUUAAAUGAGAUAUAAUUCCAAGGUGGAACAUCUGAACUCCAGCUAACAAGUUCAGAUUUACACCCCAAAGUCUACUUGAACACUGUUUUCUUAUGUGUUCUAAAAAAUAUUGUACACUGAAUCGGUGAAAUAACUAAUUCUGCCGCGUUUAUGUGCCAAAUCAUGCUGCAGACUGUAUAAUUUAGACUAUGAAGAGAUUAAUAUGCUGUGAGUAAAUAAACUUUGCAAGGUUGUAUCUUAUUAAUUUCCAUUUGUCUGAAUCAGAAGUUAGGGUAAUUGGCAAGCAUAGAACUCAGAUACCAGGAAUUUUACUCCAAGAAUGAUCAUUAGAAUACAACAUUGUGCAUAAUCCUAGUUUUGGUUGUUCUCUCUCCAAAGCACCGCAGGUAUACCUUGCCAUAUAAUCAUAGGCUCCAUAGAGUUGGACUAGAUGACCUUUAAAGGUCCCUUCCAACUCCCCUGCUAUGAACAGGGACCCCUACAGCUAGAUCAGGUCGCUCAGAGUCUGGUCCAGCGGGGCCUUGAACGUCUCCAGGAACGGAGCAUCCAACACGUCUCUGGGCAACCUGUCGCCCUGCCUUCCAAUUACAAAGAGGACAGUGGAUGGGUGUUGUAAGGUAAUACAUGGUCUCAAGCUAUGCCAACACGUUUCUACCAGUCAGUCAUAAUAUUCUGUUCUCCACUUCUAAAUUUGCAGCAAUUUGCUACAAAAUGAACAUUUUCUAGUAGUCCAACAGAACAUUAGAUAAGAGGAUAUAUAUUUUUCUAAUAUUAAAUCUCUCUGGAGCUUCAUUUUUUUCAGCAAAUUUUUACAGGCAGCAUUUUUCUUUGAAGGGAAGGAGUUUAAAAAGCCAUUUUGCAUAGCAAAUUUUUUAAUAAAAAAUAAUAUUAAUUUUUUAUAGAUGUAGACCUAGAUGGAAUAAGUGACAUUUGAUACAAUCACCUAAAUAAAACUACAAACAAAAUCAAAACUCAUUGAGCUAGAUGGUUCUUUACAGAAUGUGACUACUUCAGUGGUGACCUAUGAAAUUCAACAUAAAAAAAAAAAAAUCAGCCAAUUGGGCUUAGAGCUUUAGCACAAAAAAAAUACAGUAAGAUACAGAGUGAUACUGAAAUGGAUUAAGAUGUAUCACCUAUAGGCAAGUGUGCAUGCAUAUUUCCCUUUUAUUCUGUUUUUCUUUAUUCAUAGUUUCCCAAAAUUUCAUCUAGUACAUCAGAUUGAAUUUUUCUAGGUUCAGCUGGUGCCUGAAGGUGAAUGUCUAUUGAACACUUCAGACAAGGAUUGAGAUACUUAAAUUGGAAAGCGGGAACAAAAGUAUGGGCUUUCCAAGAAAACAGAGAGAUCAAUAGAUACCUUUCAGGAGAAUUGCAUUCUGUAUUUAUAGCGAGGGUAUAAGGAAGAAGAACACAGUCUAUUUCAAAUGGAAACACGUAAAUUCUUGUUCCAAGACAACAAUCCUACUUUCCCAAGAUUGGACAAAAUAACUCCUAUUGGCUCUCUUUUAUUUACAAAUCAACAGGUUAACAAAGAGACAAGAAAAGACCUUAUAGAAGCUACUUCUGUGAGAGGCACAUUGUGCUAUUUCACUUCAUGAAGAAAGUGUUGGAAGAGUUUGCUGCUCCAACUGAGAGUCUGUUGCAGGCUUUAUUGAAUGCCUGUUGCUCACUUUGGACCUCCUUUCUUAGGUUAAAUCUGUGUGAAGCUUUCCAGGCAGAAGCUGCUUCAAAUUUCACAGUGAAUUCAUCUGUCAGUCCAAUACAAUGAACAUUUCAGGUAUUCAGAAUGAAAGCAAGAGCGCUUCCAGUUGAGGGUCACUGCUUUUUAUUACUACCCAUUCACAGGUAGAUGCGACCACGUUAGUUUCAAGGUGUAGACUCUACUUAUUUACCUCUAAGCUUACCAGCCAUGUACAUCCUUGCAAGGUCUGUGCCAACAGUGUUUUUUUAAAUUCAUCGCCUCCAUCAGGUAUUAGCUGUGAUAGGUACUUGGUAACCAGCAGUCUCAGAACCAUAAAUGUGUUCUUAAGUGUUCCAUGGUUGCAUGUUUGUGUGAUUGGGGUGCAUGUUAACACAUCACACAAGGACACGAAAGGGUCAGAAGAGAAUUCCUGCAGAGUCACAACAGUUAACUCUCACCUUCCACUGUAAGGCCACUCAACGGCUUGGACAGAUGUGAGGACAGGAAGUCUUGUUUUUUAUUAAAUACAAAUGUUUUACUGAAGUUCAAAGCCUAACAUUCAAACACACAAGCAGCAUCAGAAAGUGACAAGUGUUGGUGGAGACAUGCCUUUACAAGACUUUGGCCUGGGAUGUUACGUUGUUUUGUAUUUGGGUUUGGGGAGUACUUUUAACAAAGUAGUAAAAAAUAUCCUAUUACACAGUAGUGUAAUUCCAUAUUUUAUAUUAAUUGCUCUUAAAGAUCAAAAGCUAUAUUCUGUCUGUUAAUGUACACACUCGCAUGGUCUCCUAUGAAAUCAAUGAGAUCCACAUGUGUGCAUCUGAGACCUAAAUUUCUCCCCAAAGAUUCUUUAAAAUCCUUUUACAGAGCAGUAAGUCAUAGAAGAAAGUCAUGUGUUCCCUUUCUUCUGCCUCUAUACCCAAGCCAGACAUGAAUUAUUACUGCUGCUCCGAAUUACACUGGAUGAUAACGGUACCCAGAGGGGUCACUGGCCAGCCAGAGAUUACCAUUGCUCAGCAUGUUCUGUUCUCACCUUCAUACAUUCCUCAUCAAUUCUGCAGUCCUCUUACACCAGCAAAGAAAUGCAAAAUAAAUGCAGCCCAGCUUCACACUAAGUCUACUGAGGAGACUGGAAUGUGCUAUAGGUAUUUAAGUGGCAGGCUGAAGCAUGGUGGGAUACCACAAUGGCUUUCUAUGGCCUGGCAGAACAAAAUUUGGUAUAUGCACACAGCUGCAAUGUAAUCACAUUUGCAGAUAACUGGAAAGAUUUUAGACAGAAAGUUAAGUAGAUAUGUAAUUUUACUUGUGGGAAAAAGUUCAGUGUCUUCAAAAAUGAACAUACAGGAAUCCAGUCAACCAUCUUUAUAUUAAGUAUAAAAAAACCCACUGAAACAGUCUGCCAUGAUUGGCAAAAAUUAGCAAGACUGCUGUCAGUUUUAGCAGAAUUGCCUAUGAGAGAUGCAAAUCUCUGAAAGAGUAGCUCAGGCUAAGUCUGAGUUGAGUUUACAAGCUUGAAAAUCUUGUGACAGCAGGUACCAAAACAGCUUGAACACUAGGAAGGGCUUGAUGACAACUUUCACCACAGUAUUUCAGCAACUCAACUUCUAACCCUGCUUGAGCCCAAAUAUUCUCAGGGACAUACAAUGAAAAAUAUACUGAUAUGGCUUCAUGAAGAUAUCCUAACAGCAAAAUGCUUUGACUUUCGAGGCAGCAGCUGUUCUCCCUAUCAUCUAUAUGGAGAACAUUAGCCUGUGAUUUGAAUUCAUUUUAACUAAGAAUAAUGCUGUCCUUGCCUAAACCAGUACACAGUACACAACCCACCAUCUGAUCCAUGGAGCCAUGUUGGUACACUGAAACAGUCACCAAGAAGUUUCUAAAGUCUUGUGAGCUCAGGCAUCUACUUCAGCUGCAACAGCAGGCGCUUAGCUCUGCACAGAGGCUGAAGUGGAACUGGAAGAUCAAUGGGCAUAUGUAGCUGGGGUCAUGCUUGAUUCAGUGUAUGUCAAUUCACUGACUGAAGGAGGGUGACUUAUUUCAAUACAAAGAGUAAGUUAAGAAUGUUCCAUAACAGAAAGAAAAGGAGGAAGUAUUAGAUAUUCAGGGCAUUUGCAGCACAUGCUCUGUGAGGUAACAGAUGAAAAGAGAAAGCUUUAUAUUGAAUUCAAAGAAACAUGAAUCUUGAGAACAACCAAUUUACCCGUUGUUUUUUUUUUUUCCUCCAAUGAAAAGAAUGGCUGUCUAUAAUCCAUUACAAUUGUACCAAAAAGAAAAAUAUGAUUAUAAGCUGAAAAAAGGCUAGAUUGCAAAUAACAGCUUCCUUCGGAUAUUAGAGUGAAAAAAAUCCCAAACAUCAGUGAAAGUUUGAUUAUUUUUUCCAAGAAUAAAGAAAAGAUUAAGUUUAAUGGUAUCAAAAUUAAAGGUGAACUUCAAUGGUUCUCCAAUGGAGAAAAUAUCUUAAUUUGGAGGGAUGCCUACCAUUUUGUUCAGCAAUCAAGAAAAUGUGGAAGAGAAUGGGGAGAGAAAAAAAAAGAAAAAACUAAGCAGAAAGAUCAGGUAACUGACAUGCUACUAUAGUCUUCGUAUGGAGAAGAGAGACUAAAAAAAUCUUCCUGCAAAAAAAAAAAAAAGGUACUUGAAAUAUAUUUGAAUAACCUCCAGUAUUAAAAGAUUCAUAAGUAUUGCUCAUAAAUUGUUAGAACUCCAUGCCUAGCAGGUAAACAGUGGAUUACUCAACAUAGCCGUUAGAUUUCAGAUGUGAAAAUGAAAGUAUGGACUCACGUGUCUAGUUAAGGUUCACGUUUUGUAUGCAUUGAGGGAAAAAUCCUUUUUGUUGAGGAAUAUGUAAACAGAGCAUGUAAUUUUUGAUAACUGAUGUUUAUGUUUACUUUCUUUUUGACAUUUAAGUAUAACUGACAUACUGAUGGCUAAGGAAAGAAGACAACUAAGCUGGAAGAAUAAUAAACAGAGCGCUGUGAGAGAUGGAAGAGAAGAAAAACAUGGUGGGAAGAACUGAGGCAGUGAGGCUAAGUUGCAAAUGAGCAGACAAGCAAAAAUAAUGAGUCAAAUGAGAGAAAGAUCUGCAGCUCUCUUUUGUAUAUAGUUGCUGUACAUAUACCAACAUGGAAGAAGCCUUCCACAGACUUCUGUCAUCACUCUGUGUGAAAAAGCUCUUUUAAAGGAACAGCUACCAAUAGGCAAGUGAGCCAGAAUACUUUUGUGCAGGAAUGUGCGUUUCUCACAUAGCUCAGGCUACCAAAAGGAAUACAAAUAUUUGCAGGAGUAGAAAAAGAUGCAGAAAGGACAGUGAAUCCUCUCACUGCUGAAACACCCUAAGUAGAAGCAGUGGAGACUCCAAGGAGAAGAAGAGUCUGGAGAAAUCAGCAACUUAAGAGUAACAGUGAAUGAGAAGAAGAGACUGGGAGAGGGAAGAAAAAGGCCUCUGGAUUUCCACCAGAAUUAAACUGGAGAAAUGGGAGCAGGAGGGGCACAGGAGAAGCAGGUUAAAGAGAUUUUGCUCCUAUCUUCGUCAGCAAAGAGGGAGUAGGAAACAAGACCCGGACAGCAUUUCUCCCAAGUCUGCUGCUCUAGGCAACUGUUUACUUUGCUUUUGCCCAAGAUAGCGUGAGACGUUAUAAAAUGAGUUUCCACAAUGCUCUGAGUCACCAGAAUAUGGAUGAGAUCUGUGGAUUCAAGCCACCUUUCAAGAUUAUGAAUCUCUUCUGAAUAUCCAUUAUGCCAAUGAUACAUAACAAAAUCACUGCUGUAAUGUGAUGCACAUGUCAACUUUAAGGAUACAGUCCCUGCUCAGAUGGCAUCAGCAUAGGGAAACGUCAGCAUGGUGGAUUACCAGAGCAAAUGCUUUAACAUGCAAUGUGAUGCAAUGUGUUUUAACAACAAUUGUUCCCUUAUGUUUGUUUGUGUCAGGUUUGACGUGACUAUCCGCCAGGACAAUGCUCAGGAUUCUGUGUGUUGCAUUGCAGAAACUGAUUAUGUGAUCAAAUGCUUAAAGCACAUAAAAUCACGCCCAAGAUUCGAUGAGAUAUAUAUGCCAGAAAAUUCAGUAGGUGCUUAAAGUAAUUGACGCUAACAGCUAGACCUGGGUUUUUCAAAGGAAUAAGCGUUUUUGUUUGUUUGUUUUUCCUAAUGCAAUAUAAUAUAAACUGCCUAGAAAUUCAGCCUUAGCAUAAUGUUCAGAUCAAAUGAAAUUCACCCGUUAAGAAAGAACAUACACAGGGUCCUCCCUGAAGUGGAAAAGACAGCCUCUGAGUAGAACAGAUACCCUGGGAGACUUCUUACCCUGUGCACAUGCCCAAAAAGACAGCUCUGAAUCUAACUGCAUUGUAGAUCUAAUGCUUGUAGGAUUUGGAGGCUCAACGCUGAGCUGUAGCUCUCAGCAGCCCUUUUUCCCCAGUCCGUGAAACUCAGAAUCCAGUGGAGACAAAAACCUCUAUAGAAAUACUGUAUAUGUAAAUGGACUUAGAAGAAAAAGGGAGGGGUACCUGCUCUUAAAUUAGUCAUAUUUAAAAUGUAUUCUCAGAACACACUGAACUAUCAAACAGUCCCCAAAGUGAAGAAAUGUGAUUCUCAUUCAAGACUUAAGAGCAAAAGGCAAAACAACUGUGUCCCUUGCUCCAAAGUCAUUAUCUCACAUUAAGACUUCAUCCUGUUCUCCCAGUUCAGAAUUUAGUCUGGUUCUAAUGGCUCACUAGACAGUUUUGCAAGAUCUUCAUGCUCUCAUAGGUAUUUAGGCACUGAAAUCAGUGAGAAGUGGUACCUGUACACUUUCAGAAAUCUGUCUUUAAUUUCAACAUCCCAUAAAUUUUUUUAACAAAAACAUCCUUCAUCUUUUCUGCUUCACAAGUGAGUUGUGAAGCUUAAUUACACAAUGAUUAUGAAGUCCAGCAAAUACAACAUAUAUUAAGAGUAGUUAAUGAGAUUUCUGUCACAAGCAGACUCCCUCUUGUAAAAUAUUACUCACAUGUUGCAGGAAAAAAAACUCAAGAGAAAAAAAUACAGAUGCAUUAAAUAUAAAACAAAUCUAGCUUGAUUACUUCCACAAAUAAUAUGUUAUACAACUCUAAAACAUCUGUCAGGACAGCAUAGAGAAUAGCAUAGGCUUUUCUGACCAGAAUGGAAUCCUGUCAGCACGGAAUUCUGUCAGCACAUCCAUGUACUCAUUUUUACCUGCAGUGCCCAUCCAAGACAGGGCCUCCAGACCCACACACGAUCUGCUUCCCAUGAGAUCUAGUGGCUUAAAUACCUUCAAAGACCAGACAUGAAGUUCUGUUCCUUCAAAUCACAGAAUCAUGGAAUCAUAAAAUGGCUUGGGUUGGAAGGGACACCCAAGGAUCAUCAAGUUCCAAUCCCUCUGCUGCAGGCAGGGCCACCAACCUGUGGUGGUUGUAAAUAUUUCCCAAAAAGAUGCCAGCAUACUAACCAAUUACCACAUUUAACAGCACAGUGGAAGAUGGCUAGACAACUAUGAGCAGACAGACGAUCGUACAGAAGGCAUUGCUUGCAUACUUAGUGAUUUCUCAGGCCAUAACAAAGCAUACAGCCUAACUAGGGUAGGAGGACUCAAAAGAGGAAGACCAUUCCUUAAUAAUACAGAGCUCUUUGGCACAUUUCUUUUCUGUGAACAAACAGUGUAGCUGUUAAAAUACAUUUCCUGUUAGCAAUUAUGGCUCAGAGCUCACAGACGCUUUUACAGAACUUGGACAGGAGUGAUUUUCAGUACAUAGUGUCUCUAACAGCAAGUUAUAUUAAUAUUCACCAAAGGAAAACCUGUUUGUUGACCCAAAGUGUGACUGCUUACAAUUCUCUUCUUGUGAAAUUAUUUAGGUCCUGUGGGACAACUGUACUGAGCUUUUGACGCAAAUAUUAAAAUUCUAUUUAAAUGUACAAUGUUUUAAUGCAAAUUUUUACCAUAAAACCAAAUGCUCCAUUCAGUUAAAUUAAUAGAAUUACAAAAAGAUGUAAUGAUAGCAAUUAAGUCUUGAAAAUGCAAAUUUUAUAGUCAAGGACAAUUACCUCAUUUAUAGUAUCCUGGAAUGAUGCCAGAUGAAGGUAAUUUAGAUCUCCCUAGCUCACAGUUAUAUCAUGAAGGAUAUCUUAAUUUCAUUAGUACAACAAAGAUGGGUGAGAACUUGGACAAUAUGAAAAAAAAAAGGGAGGGAGAGAUGGGAGAGAAAAUUUGACCUUUCUCAUUUCACCGCAACUAGAAUACAUAGAUCUUACUAAAGGAUUAGUAAUAUUUCUUUCUAUUCCUAUCUCUGGGGAAAAAAAGGGGGGGGGGGGGGCACUUUUUUCUUUUCUUUUUUUUUAUUAGCAGCAAUGGAACAUUAGUAUGAAAAAGGUCAACUCCCUUCAGAUUCUUAGAGCCACUAUGCCCACAUCACAACAGUUAUGGACCAUUCCUUAUUUCAGUUUUAAGGAUGAAUACAGCAUUGGCUCUUGGCUGACAGAGUAUCAAGCUAUGGCCUAGGGACACAUGGUUUUGACUCCAAUAUGAUUUAAAAUGUUCUAGAAAAAUUCUUCUUGCUCUUACAAAUACAGCCCCACUUCAUCCAAAGAGGCAAGUCAAAAAUCAUCAGUUUCUCAUUAGCAAGCAAAGAGUGAUCAAGUAGACAAAGAAUACAGAUUGAUAUGCCAUAGAUUCAGUAGUCUCCUUUGAAGGAAAAACAAAACCAAACUCUCAUACAAGUUCUUUAGCACAUUAUCAAGUUCAAAUAGGAGUUUGCAAUACUGCAGAUAUCCCUCUUCCUUUCCUUUCUCUUUGCUGUAGUAGCUACCCUUGACCCUUGAAGAGAUUUCAAAAAAAAAGCAUAUUAAAUAAGGUGCACCAUAAAGUUUAAUUUUAAAACUUUACAACUCUCAAUUUUUCUUCCUGGCCUGUUGUAGCCACUGCAAAGAAACUCAACUUCCAGAAAAAUAGCUGCAUCCACCUAAAAUCUUCUUACAUCAAAUUCCCUUACCAAACCUAACAUGUAGGCUCUGGAGAGAGCGGAAACCUCCAAGGACAGAGUAGCAAACUUCACCUCUCUCCUUAUCUUGAACACAACUAACAAAGAUAACAUGAAAAAGCCUUCCCAAGAGUAGAAAUAUCUGCUUACCGUCAGCAUUUGGUGGUUUUGCUGUAGAUGGUGCAUGCUGAAGCCAUCCCAACCUCCUGCUGACAAACCUUUCCUUAACACCCUGAGAUAGGCAGGUUCUAGAGGAUCGGCUUUAUAACUUCGAACAGCACCACAUAGCGACAGGAAUGCAGCAUUACAAACCCCCAACACUCCUCAGAAAGGGUUUCUUCCAUCCAGUUAUUCUGUUUUAUGAAAAACAAGCCUUUUCUGAAGGAAAAAGUACCUUAAUUUUUCAUGUCAACGAUGCUAUCAGUCACCUCUGCCGCUUGAAAACAAUGGAUGACACUCUGGCUCAAGGAAAGCCACCUGCUUCCUUUGGGGUUAAGACAUCUUUUGGUGAAUUUCAUCUCCUAUCAAGCAAUAGCAAAAUUAGAGCUUGUACCACUAUUGCCUUCGUUCCGUGCUUUUGAUGCUUAUAAUCCCAUUACACCUGACAACUUAACCUGAGCUUGUUAUUCAUAGACAUGUAUGGUCUGAUGAAACAUUCCCAACUCCUGAAAAAUCUUUUUGUGUGUUGUUGGGAGAUUUGGCCUAAUAAGAAGUGCUUGAGUGGGUGUAGACUGGGUAUGUUUGUACCAUAUUAUACAAUAUGGCUUAAAUUUCCAUGGCAUUUUAUUGGAAAGUGUGAACCUGACAAGCUAAUAGUUUGUGAAUCUGUUGAGUCUCUGCUGUUGCAUGGAGAAACGUUUUGUCUAGGCUAUUCCCAGUAUGCUUCAAUUGUAAAAAAAACAGGCUGCGAUCAUAACACAUCUUCAUGUAAAUCAAAGUAAAUUUCUGCAGGACAAUAUUUACCACUGUUAUGUACCGCAGAUCUCCCAAUUCCUCAUUUGACCUAACAGUCGGAAUGAUCUCAGGCCAGCAAUAAGCUGAAUACUGGUUGCUAAGUAAUAUUUAAUUUAAGCAUGAUGUUGUGGUCAACAAAAUGAAUUAGCAUUUUCUGCAUUAAUGAAGAUCCAGGCCUAAAAUCAAAUGAUGAUGUCAAAAAAUUAUGGAAAGUAUUAUUGAUCUAAUUCUUCCUUUUAUUACACUGACAGAGAAACAUGCUUCUUGGAAAUGUUACAUGUGAAGGAAGAAUUUUUCCUAUUGCAUCUUCUUUCAAGAGAUUCAGUUUUCUACUCAGAACUCCAAGAGAGUAAUUUACAUUUGUGAUCACCCAGCCAAUUCAAGGCAACUGUGGAAAGAAACACUAGUAAGAAUUCAUUUUGUUGAUCUUAUCAUAAAUGUGAGAGAGAUUUAGCUUUAUCCUAAAUUCCACUAAAUCCUAGAAUGCAAUAAAGAAAUAAUCAUACAUGAAUUUGAGUCAGUACUGUUCCUCGUCAUUAUGCCACCUGACAAGCUAGAAAGCAACUUCGCUAGUGCAUAUUCAUUCCAAAUUAAUACAGUAAUUCUGAAAACUGUUUCUUUUUUCCCCUACUUUUAUGCAUUUAUUGCUUUAUUUCUCUAUUGCUAUUUCCAGUCCAUAAUGCAAUGCAGCUUGUGGAAUGUAAUCCCCUUUCUUCUCCUGACCAAACUCCACUCUGAAUGCUGCAUGGAUGGGAUCCUUUCUUUUCUGUUUUUUUAAUGUUUUUCUUCUCACUUUACAUAUUCUCAAAAAUGAGAUGAAUUUCUGAUUAUUUUCCAUUUUCCCCACUUUAUGAAUAUUAGAGUGGUUUUCUUUUGCAAUGUGGCUUGGCCUGCAUUUCAAAGUCCACAUUUUGAGUGGUUCCCUGUGAUUUUUGGACACUUGGCAUUUUCUGGGUCCAACUCAGAGAACUGUUUGAUUUUCAAAUAUUCAGAGCAUUCUCAAAGCCUGUUAAGUACAGACAAUACUUUCAGUGUUCUUUAGGUCCUUUAGGCUUAUUUUUUCAUUAACCCAAAACUGAGGUAAAAAAAAUCCUGUGUUCUAUGAAUUCCACAGUGUUGUGCAGAGAAGGGCAGUGGGAAAACUGAGUUAAAUGCAGGAUUCAAGUUUUUCUGACUCUUGCACAACUUGUUGUCUAAUGGACCCCAUAGGCUCUCAGCAACACCAGCUGUCUCUAAAAUUCAACCAACAGUGGAAAUGACUACUGCUGUUCUGUCCAUGGAAAGCAUGAAAAGGUUAUUAAAAAAAAAAAAAAAAAGAAUGGCUUGCUUAGAUAUCACACAAAUGUAUUUGCUUUUUUUUUACUUAGUGAAAAGGCUGUAUUAUAAAAGUAAACUUUUCAAAACAGAAAAAGUAGGUAUCAAAUACAGGAAAGAAACAAAAAGACUAUAAAGUAAUCUUUACAAAAGCAGAUUGCACUGACACUGUCUUGCUCACAGUAACACACAAAGUAAUUUCAUAAAACCCAGCUUUUAUCUUGUUCUAAUAAAACAUCAAGCUAGCAACAUUAUGGUGAGGGCUUUCAUUUUCUUUUCGAUAUAGAUUCUGAUUGGAAGUAUUAGCUGAUGCAGCAGGAUAAAUAAAGAAAUGCCUAGAUUGUUAUGGUUCCCAAAGGUCAUUUUUAUGAAAAGAUCAGGAAAUAUGUUUCAUUGAAAUUAAAAGUAAAGCCAUAUCAAGUUUAAUAACAUUGUUACCAUAAUGACAUAAAAUUCAGUGAGAUGGUGUAAUGUUUAAUAUUUGACUGUCAAGCCUCUGCAGUGAAGCUGUGUGAAAGCAUUUAAACUUCUAAAACUGAAUUUCCUUUCAGUUUUAUUGCUGUUUUAUACCCAUCUCCUUUUUUUCCUUGCCGUAAUAUUCUGUGUUUCUUUGUUGAAUUUGAUGUUAUCAGUAAAAUACAAUAAAAACUCAUGGAGGGCCACAUCUCUGUUCCAUAGAAGACUUAGCAAGGCAUCCCCAGAUGACCAAAGGCUGUCUGUGCCAAAUCAUUUUUUCCAUCAAGUAAGAACCCCAGCAGUGUUGUAGGGCAUGGCAAGAGGGAUGCUGUCAGGGCACAGCUACCCUCUGGGUUUUCUCAGUUGUGGCACUGUCAGAGGUGGAUUAAUAUGAGAAGCUGUAUCAGCCCUCAGCGAUUCUGGGAAAGGUCUGGCAUAAUGCCACUGUUCCCGGGUCUGCAUUCACAUAAACAAUUGUAAAGACGACUGAAGCCAGCAACUGCGAAGCCCGAGUGGUCUCUGGCUUUGUACAGCCUUUUGUUGGACACUGUGCUGAGUGCUAGGAUCAGAGAAUUGAAAAGUUUACAGCUUGGCACAGCUCUGCAAAAUUCUGAUUUUCAGAUAAAUAAACAAAACCCUGUCUCCAUCCCUGGGACCAAAAUUAUUCAAUACACUAAACAACAAGUAACAUUCUGGAAACAAAUUCUUUCUUUAAAAUGCAAGCUUGGUUUAGCACAUUUUCCCAGGAUGAAUUUCACCAGUUUAGCUUAAGAGUUGUUCAGUCUCAUCAGUGUAAAAAACAAGUAGCUGUGAACAUUCCUGAAACACUUACUUGGAGAUUCUCAUAAAGGAAAGAUCUGAGUGCCCGAGCCACCAGAGUCCAUACAACCACAGAACUGCUUGAGUUGGAAGGGACCCUUAAAGUCCAUCUUGUCCAACCCCCCUGCAAUGAACAGGGACACCUACAGCCAGAUCAGGUUGCUCCCCUUUAGAUACUGAAAGGCUACUAUCAGGUCUUCCUGGAUAUUUCUCUUCUGCAGGCUGAACAGCCCUGGCUGUAAUACAGCUAAAUAUUCUGAUGGUUUUACUUCAUAGUUUUCCAUCAGCUUUGGUUGCUGACAGACGAUGCAAAGAUUGAGGAUUUAAGCUUGCUGUAUUUGUUCUCUUUGUCUUUUUGCCAGACUGGCUGUGAUGAGCAGGUACUGGAUAUGCAGUUUGGUCUGUUGCAGCUGUUCUAGUACAUAAUCUGAUUCAAAAACAGGGAAUAUUUGGAGGCUCUUAUUGGUAAAUACUGCUACUAUGGAUUUUAUAAGUACUGCAGAUGUGCCCUUGCCACCUUUGAUCUAGUAACAUGGUGCUUCUUACUAUGUGGACAAAUAGCUCUGAAUGUACAACUCAAAGAUUUGCCACUCUCCAUAAACAAGCUUCACUUUCUGCCAUUUGUGCCUGAGGUUAUUAUUUGAGCUGUGUGGAUCAUUCCUUACGAAAAUUAGAACUGUGAGCUAUUUAGCUGGACUUAUCUUUUCUAUAAAGGUGAAACUAAAUAGGUCUGACACAAAAUAGCUGUGGAAGGAGAGAUUCUGAUUCUCCUUGGAGCUUGUUUUAUACAAAGACCAUCUUAAAUUGCAUGUUUGCUAAUUCCUUUCUCUUAAAGACCUCAAGGAAGGCAGAAAGUAUGAUACAUCUACAUGAGUUGUACCCAGCUCUAGGCUGAUAGAGACUUUAGGCAGUAUUAAAACUGCCAUCGAUUCCAAAUCCCUAUCUUUGGGUCACAAUAAGACCAAUGAAGGUCUGCACAUGGGCCUUAACACACCUAUGUUGCUGCUAUCUUGUCUCCUGAAGCAUGACAUCCUUCUUAUAGAUUCACUGAAUCACCAUGUAAACUUGUCUAAUAAAAGUGGAAAUAAGAGUUUAUUUCUGCACUUCAGUUUUUCUUUGCAUUUUCUGGAAGCAGUGCAAUAUAAUUCAGAUGCAGUGUGAGAAAGGCACUGUGAAAUCAUGAAUAAAGGACUCCAGUAUUCCUUUAUGAAAAAUCUUUUAACAUAAUAAAUUAAUAAUUAUUACUUCUACGGGGUUUUAUUUUGUUGGUGGUGGUGUUGUUUGGUUCUUUUGAAGAAUCCUGUAAACCCUAACAGGAAAUUACAUGUCCGGUGCAAAAGUGUAUGAGAAGAGUCAAGAAAUCUAUGUCAUGGCUGUCAUUCUUCUUUCAAGACUAUUAACCUGAAAUCCUGGCUUCACUGCAUCUUAGCACUAAUUUCAGCAAAAAGUCAGACGUUCACUCCAUCAUGCUUUAGAAGCAACUGUCACUGUGUUAAAUUCUGCUCCUUCUUUCCCAUUCUCUUUUCCUGCUUGUCAGGUAAGUGUCCAUAAAUGUCAUGAGGCCAAAAUAAACUGGCGUGUGGAAAGGGAGAUGACUAGGAACAAGAAGGCAGAAUUCUUUGGUAAGACCAGGUAGAAGUAGAUAGGACAAAGGGUUUGAUGAAAAGGUUGAUGAAGGUUUGGAGAUUGAUGAGGAUUCUACAUCUCAAGCCAAAAUGCAGGGGUUAAAGUAUUGCAGAAUUAUUUGGUCUUCAGUGAGAAAAAUGGUUCUGCUAAGUAGUUAUACAAAUGUACUAUUUAGUCAUUCACCACAAGAAAGUGUCAGGUUUUACUGUUACAGAGCAAAGAGGGACUACAGAGGAACAUACUGCUUUCCUUAGCCUUGCUCUCCUUCUGGAUGCAAUGUUUUGUGUUACAACAUCUUGAAAACUUUUCAGUCAGAGAAAGGAGCAGCCCUGCAGCAAUGAAAGAGCAGGUGAUGGACUAAUAAUAGGAUCUCUUGUUUAUUUCCUCUUCCUUUAUUGAUGAUCAGCCUGUGGUGUGUUGAGCUGGAAGGCAGAAAAAAAAAAAGGCCAGGUCUCACAUUAGCAAGGAGUCCUCCAGCUGUUAAAGGUAAAAGUCAUCCUGGGUGAGGUCAGUCUCUCACAGUGACUCAAACGGACAGUCUUGCUUGUGUCAGCAGAAGCUCAGCUACCAUCACAGCUGCACAAACGUGGGCACUGCUUCUUCAACUAACUGCCUGGAGAUUAGACAGGUUGCUGCACGUAGGGAAGGCAGAAAGAACUCUGGUAGGAUGAACACAGGUUGGAGUGUCGGAGUGAACACUGUGAGCCCUUCCUGUUCAAGGUUACAAGAGAAGGAGGGGCCACAUUCUGAACGUGGCAGGGCUAGGCAUGUAUGGAAAAGCCUGGGAAGCAGCAAGUCUUUUUUCCUAGUUCAAAGGCCUAACCAAGCUGUUCUAGGCACCAUGAGCAUGAGCUGGGAGAGCCCAACAAGUCACUGCCAGUGCUCUGCUGCCUGGCACCAAGGCUGCUUUUUGCUUUCAGAUGCUCUGUUGUUUCUCGUUUUUAUAACACCAGUCCUUGCCAGGUGCUCCUGGGGUCUAUUUUAAGGCAAAUAAAAAUGUUUUGUCUUUCAAAAUAUCUGUGAGAUCUCUGGGGAAAACGUACUGAAAUUUUGGUUUCCAGAAACUCUCACAGAAAGUCUGAAAAUUCAAAACACUGAGAGAAAUUUGGGUUUUGAAUCCUUGAAAGCAUGCAAUCUUACAGUGGUCCUAGCAAUUAAAGCACUGGCAGCUGAUUUCCCAUAGAAUCAGAAGCGCCAGAUAUCAUGCCAGAGGUUCAUUUACUGAGCUGAUCCACUGUGGGCAGAAGCUCAAUGUUCCUGCAAUGGUCCUUAGGGCAAAACAAUUCCCUCAAAAAAGAGAAGAUGAUUCAGAAUUAUUUCACCGAAAACACACCUGGUAUUUUCUGGGUCUACUCUAGCAAGGAAACAAAUCUACAAUAAAACAAGCAUAAAACAAUGGAUAAGACACUGCUGAAUGUUUGGUCCCGUGGACAAGACAGGAGAUAAUGCAGAUCGUUGAUACUGAAUAAACAUCAAACUGUAAGCUGCACUCACUUGCCAUGUUCUGUUUUCUUGAUUAAAUCGAGUUGUUUUUGUUGAGAGGAAGAUAUAGCAAGCUGACAGCCAUACCGCCCUACCUUGCACACAACUCUACAGUAUAGAACUUAGUGUGUUUACAGUCAAUGUUCGCUAAAUCUGAGUUGCCAGGUGAAAUCAUUGCAUUUGCCUGUUUCCUUGUCUAAUGAAAAAAAUGCUUGUGAUAGCACUUGAGGUCACAACAGCACUUGGCUAAUGCAGUGAUGAUUUAAAAAACAAACAAACCAAAAAAAAAAACAACCAUAAUUUUUUUCUGGAUUUGUUACAUGUGGGAUUUAAAGGCAGUUGCUGUACAGUGCCUGGAAACCUGAUUCACCUGAGUCACAAUUCAUCCAAUACAUCACGAUAACAACAUGUCUGAGGGAUGGGAGGCCAUCCAGAGAGAUCUAGACAGGCUUGAGCAGUGGGUCCAGGUGAACCUCAUAAGGUUCGACAAAUCCAAAUGCAUGGUCCGGCACCUGGAUCAUGGCAAUCCCCACUAUAAAUACAAGCUGAGGUACUAGAAGAUAGAGCACGGCCCUGUUGAGAAAGACUUGGGGGUACUGGUGGAUGGCAAGCUGGACAUGAGCCAGCAAUGUGCCUUCUCAGCCGAGAAAGCCAGCUGUAUCCUGGGCUGCAUCAAAAGAAGCAUAGCCAGCAGGUCAAGGGACAUGAUCCUUUCCACCUCUAAGACCUCACCUGGAGCACUCCAUAAAGAUGUGGAAUUCUCAGUACAGGAGAGUCAUGGACCUGUUGGAGCGCAUCCAGAGGAGGGCCACAAAAAUGAUCCAAGGGGUGGAACACCUCCCCUGUGAGCACAGGCUGAGAGAGCUGAGGCUGUUCAGCCUGGAGAAGAGAAGGCUCUGGGGAGACUUCAUAGUGGCCUUUCAGUAUCUAAAGUGGGAGUGUAAGAAGGAAAGGGACAGACUCCUUAGCAGAAUCUGUUGUGACAGGACAAGGGGAAAUGGUUCCAAACCAAUAGAGGGGAGAUUUAGACUGGAUAUAGGGAAGAAGCUAUUUACUGUAAGGAUGGCAUGGAUGUCCUGUCCCUGGAAACACUCAAGGUCAGGCUGAAGCAAUCUGAUGUAGCUGCAGAUAUCCCUGUUUAUUGCAGGGGAGUUGAACUACGUGAGCAUUAAGGGUCUCUUCCAACUCAGAUUAUUCCUUGAUAAUUUAUCAAGGAAGUCUGAGGGCUUGGACAGGGUGUUGAUGAGACACUGAAGUAUGUGGACACCAUUACUUACUAUAUUAUGUCCUCAAGGAGUGGUGUGGAGGGAAUGGCUGCCCUUACCCCAUGGUACAGGUGCUUUUUAUCUGCAUCUCCCAGGAUCCAAAGAGAAGCCCCACUCCUUGAUCACUGAAGAUCAAAUUGAGCUAUUUACCUUCUCAAGUGUUAACAUGCAUUGGUGGCAUAUGCUUCCAAGGCUUUCUUUUGCUUGGUUUUGUUGUAUACAUGUGGAUAAUGCCAGAUAAGAUUUUGGCGCUAAGAAGGUUUCACUGAGUGCUUCUCUUUUCACCUCAUUUUGGUCUCUCCUUCUUUAAUGACCAGUGAAUUACAGUCAAUUAAAGGUGACUGAUAGGAACUGCAGGGAAUACACUCAUAAAGAAUUAUGAAAAAUAGCCAUGUACCUUGUGACCAGCGUAUACAAAUUACAUCAUAAGCAGGAAGUAGUUAUGGUUGAUUGGAGCAAUUAAAUGUUUUCUUUAAGAAAGGAAAAAAACCCUCCAGUGAGAAUAUUUUAGAAAAUGGCUUUUUAAUCAUCUGUAGAACUGCUAGAAUGUCUGUCUUCUAAUAGUUUUAAAGUGUUCCUUAUUUAGAAUUAACUGUAAUUCUACAGAAUAGCCAAAUACUUCCCCAGGAACCUGCUUACAUGAAAGUUUAUUUUUAAUCACAAGAUCACAUCCAAAAAAAUUUACAUAGGCCAAAGGAGACCAGAGAAGAUCUGAGCACCUGUCCCCGGUGUGUAAACAGCUACAAAUUUGGGAGCCAUUGCACAGGAGAGAACACUUUCUACAAUGAUUCAGGAAGACAUGCACACAGCAAGAUUCACCACUCAAAUAAGAAGCAUUAACGCUGACAGAAAAAUCAGGUGUUUCCAGCAGCAUCAGAUGCAUACUAACCAGCAUCCUGCCACAUUAAUCAACCAGCUAAUGCCUUCAGACUUGGCUGGUUCAUCAUCUAUCCUCAUCCCUGUAGACACCACUAGUUCCGCAUGGGCAAGGACACAUUUUGGGAGGGGAAGGACCAUGGCAGCAUGCUGUGGAAGAGCAGUCUCUGCCUAGCAGUGUGGUGAGCUGCAUAUGAGCCACAUGGGCAGAUGACAAGGGACAGCUUGGUGGUGCCCGUGCAAGCCAAUGGGGGAGCUUCUGCGCGUAACAUGCCUCAGCAGUCCACUUUUGCCUGCCCGUGGAUGGGAAUGCUGCUGGUCUGCACAGCCUGGGCAUAGGCAGCGGGGGCAGUGCUGGCAGUGCGUACCAGCACCCAGCACACCAGAUGAGAGCAUGCGAAUUGGAAACUGGCUAUUAUAGACAAUAGCCCUAAAAAUCAUCCUCUUGGUACAGAGAGAACACAUGCCUGAUACUCUACCAAUUGCCUAGCUUAACACUGAGGAUACAGCUCAGGAUGUCAUAUAUGUUCACACCUUCUUUCAAGGAGACUCAUGAUGCUGGAAAAGGGUGAAAAGGCUGUAAACAGUGUUCUUUGGUCAAAGAAACCCAGAACAUGUUUCAUAUAAUAAGGUUAUUUUUACUAUUUUUUAAUCUCAGCAGAAAAUUCAUUAUAUUCCUCCUUUUUCUCUCAGCUUCGACUGUGUAUCCCCUUUGUGCUUGCAAAACAAAGGUUAUUUUUUACUCACCUGUAUAAAAUGCUUGAAGAACUCCAGAUGAUUAAAGAUAUAAAAGUCAAAGGAAAUAUGUAUAUAUGCAUGUUUAUAUAUAAUUGUUGUUACUGUUGCAGUCUGCGAGAAAAACAAAAAUUAUUCCUAGCAGAGCGUCAGGUUUUUAUUUAUUUAUUUUUUUAUGACUUUGGAAGCUUUUUAAUAGCUAGUGAUCAGAUGAAACAACUGCUCUUGAAAUCAAUGAGAACUGGAUUACGUGCUGGAGAAGAGAAAGCUUCAGGAGAAAAUGUUUACAUUACUGUUAUCUUAGAUAAUCACCAUUUCUGCCUAUGUCUUCCAGAAAAACUCAUUUUGUUUCUCUGAAAAAUAUGUAAUGAUUUCAAGAUCAUUUCAGAGGCCAAACACGCUAGAAAUUCAAAUCCAUGAUCUAAAUGCUUACAAAAAGUGUCUCAGAUCAGUAAAAACAAGCUGAAGAGAAUGAGAAGAUACUCUUUGAUUAUCUAACCUCCUUGACUGCAGUACGUUUAUUCUGUUUUCUUCUUACCGUUUUCUUCUUCUUGAGGAUUUGAAAUUACUUCUCUUUGAAUGUAGAGGAUAUAAAUUAAUCAAUAAAGUCAAUAGUAGCCCUUAUAAACAUAGCUUAAAUAUAUAUCUGUGUGUCCUACGCUACAAAAGAUAGCAGCAACUGAAGCAAUUUCCCCCAUGGCCUAAAUCCUAACUACCAUCUAGUUCCAGGAAAGCUAGUACAGCAUUUGCUGUUUCACACAGAUGCCAUAAAACAGACAGACCAUUAAAAUGAACACUGACACAUUUAUAGUCAUACAGCUUGGCUCUUCGCUGUGACGUUGCCCUUGAAGUGUUGAUGUCAUACCAAAAUUGCACCUCCUCCUACAGUGUAAAUUAUUCUGUAAUUCCAUGGUUCUGUGAUAGCACUACUGUGCCCACCAGUGCUACAAUGGACUCGUUAACAGCUGAGCCUUUCCUUACCACUACAGCCUCAUGAACUGCCUCUCUGCUGCUCUUCACUGCAGGAGGCCAGCUUACAUUGCUAUUGGUAUUAACUGUUAACCAGCCUAUCUGCACUCAGACAGAAAUCAGAGUGAAACAGCAACAUUCAGCAUUUCUCAAAAGGUAAUCUAAGUUCUGGAUUUUCCAUCCAAGUGGCACAAAGUCCUUUGUAACAUGCAGCGACAAGGCUUGCAAUUCAGGCCCUCAGCUGUUCUUCACACCUCUCAGGAUUUGGUGAUGAAAAUGACAUUCUGAUGUAGGGCACAUUAGCCCACUACUUUGAGUGCAAGGCCAUGUGGAUGUAGUCACUAAUGCUGUGGGAAAGAUUUGUAUCCAGAAGGCUGCAGUAACACCCUCAGAAGGAAAGCAUUGGGCUAAUACUAGGAACAAGAGUCUGGAAGAGCGCCCAGAUUCAUAAGAAAAAAUAUAUAUAGUUUCCACUACAGCUUGUCAAUGAAUAUUGAAAAAGGAUGAGUGAUGAUUAAGAGUUUAAAAUAAUCCCCUUUCCACCCUUUCACCUGCCUCCAGUCAAAUCAUAAAGCCAGUCCUGUCCCUGGCUUACAUAAUAAUAGAAUUAUUUUUCUUAGAGUUUUGACCAAUCAGCAGCCAAUAGCUAAGAAAUGACACACGUGUGCGCAAGGAAGGGCCUUUGGGAAGAAAAGAGAAAGAAAAUAGAAAAUUUAUUAUUGCCAGUCUACUGAUGAAUGCAGGCAUUAGAAUAGCAGAUGUAGAGAAUAUAA
ensembl:lncRNA